GGAACCUUUCUCUGGCACCGGAAUCCAAUCCUAAGAAAACACACUCAUAUUCUGAACUUUUUCAAAGCCACAUCCAUGUAUAACACUAUGCAGUAUCUAGUACAUUUACUAUAAUGAUAAUACACUGGUUAUUACACAAGUUAUUACAUGGUUAUUACUGGUGAUAUGGGCAAAACAGGUUAUAAGUGUACCUUUCUGGAUGAUGAGCCUGGCCUUGUAAUCGUCGUUGCAGGUACUGUUCAGGAUGUCUCCCACCCUGGUGGUCAGGACCUGGCAGACGGCCCCUAGUCAAAUCAAAAUGUAUUUAAUACAGGGGUGUCAAACUCAUUCCAUGGAGGGCUAAGUGUCUGCGGGUUUUAGUUUUUUCCUUUCAAUUAAGACCUAGACAACCAGGUUAGAGGAGUUUCUUACUAAUUAGUGACCUUAAUUUAUCAAUCAAGGGUGGAGUGAAACCCUGCAGAAACCCGGCCUUCUAUAGAAUGAGUUUGACAUUUGAUUUAAAGUAAUUCUUCACACAUAACAUGUCUCCAAACACUGUAUAGAAAAAUAAGAAAAAAAGAGGAGAGAAAAUUAAAAUACCAUUACUGACAAUAAGAGAAAAGAAAGAAGGGGAAUGUGCGGGUGCAAAAGACGGUAAAAACAACAUAACUAACCUAGUGCCUCCUUGUUGUCAUCGGAGAGGGAGAGGGAGCUGGAGGACUGGAGGGUAACUUUAGUGCCCUUCUUGAUAGCUGGCAGGACACCUACAGAAAGAGGAUCAUAGACAUUAGUGGAUCCUUCCACCAUAUAUCGUUUUAGAAUUCUAUCAAUAAAUCCAGGUAUUUUGGAAGUGGAGAUGAAUACCCACUGUAACUGGUUGUUUGAGUUAGAAGAGUUUGAGGCAGUGCCAACAUACCAACUACUUGGCGGCUUAGUUUUUUUCACCCCUGACUUAACCUCCCUAGACCUUCUAGCCUUGAUAACCUCUGUGGCCUUCUUUUCUGACUUUGCUAUAUCUGCCUCUCGGCUGGGCCUGGGGCCUUGCGGGGGCUUCGGUACAAGGUUCUGAGACAAAUAACAACAGUGGGGAAAUCAUAUCACCAUAGAAACCACAUUUUUCACCAUAGGCAUGAUGGUACUGAGUGACAUGUCACAUAAGGGUUAACCUUAGAAUUAGCAUCAGAAUUAAAAUCUGAAUUCCAAUACUAGUAGUUCUAACUAGUAGGUGGUCCAUGUGUCUUAAUGGCGUUAUUAUCGGGUUGUAAACUGGUUUUCAACCCGUCGUAUUACUAGAUUGCAACCAACUGGCCUCCGUGACAACCAGACGUUUUGCAACAGAACUAAAAGCUUUUUCUUACCUUUCGAGGGCUAUCCUGGAGGCAGUCAUCCAGGGCUGGCAGGCUUAGUCCAUCAUGGCCAGCUGAAUGGACAUCUGCCUUUCGAGGGCUAUCCUGGAGGCAGUCUACCAGGGCUGGCAGGCUUAGUCCAUCAUGGCCAGUGGAAUGGACAUCUGUCUGGAGCACUUGCUCUCUAUCACUAGCUUGGAGGGUCCCAGCCUGGGGUAUAGGAACAUAAGGAAAUACAUAUAACUUAAGCCCUCCAUUAUUAUGCCCACUUUUCCAACUAUAAACCAUAACCUUAGAAUUACAAUCAGAAUUCAAAUCUGAAUUCCAAAACUAUUAGUUCUAACUAAACUCUAACUAACAAAAAAAGACACGUCCUCUCACUGUCAACUGCGUUUAUUUUCAGCAAACUUAACAUGUGUAAAUAUUUGUAUUAACAUAACAAGAUUCAACAACUGAGACAUAAACUGAACAAGUUCCACAAGCAUGUGACUAACAGAAAUGGAAUAAUGUGUCCGUGAACAAAGGAGGGGUCAAAAUCCAAAGUAACAGUCAGUAACUGGUGUGGCCACCAGCUGCAUUAAGUACUGCAGUGCAUCUCCUCCUCAUGGGCUGCACCAAAUUUGGCAGUUCUUGCUGUGAGAUGUUAACCC
rnacentral:lncRNA from 13 species